rnacentral:lncRNA from 1 species
UUUUGGGGCGAUUGGGCCUUUCCCUGAGUUGGGUGUGCUUGAUGAACUGUUGGGCUCCGGGCAACCCUAAUUUGUUGGGCCUCGACCAACCCCACCUAGCUGGGUGUAUCAUCUGGUAUCAAAGCUAGGGCCUAUUUUAAGAAGGUGGGAAUGAUGAGGACAUCAUCCACUAUUACCCGUUGGCAAAGACGUAAUUGGCCCAGUUGGCCCAAUUGUAGUCGGACGGUGACCGUGUGAGCCUUAGAUUUAUCCCACCUCGCUUAACUUGGGAGGAGGAAGCCACUUUAAAAGGAAGAGCCACCCUUCCCCCAUUGGACUAGUCUUUUGGGACGAUUGGGCCUUUCCCUGAGUUGGGUGUGCUUAAUGAACUGUUGGGCUCCGGGCAACUCUAAUUUGUUGGGCCUCGACCAACCCCACCUGGGCUGGGUGUAUCAUCUGGUAUCAGAGCUAGGGCCCAUUUUAAGAAGGUGGGAAUGAUGAGGACAUCCUCCACUAUUACCCGUUAGCAAAGACACAAUUGGCCCAGUUGGCCCAAUUGUAGUCGGACGGUGACCGUGUGAGCCUCAGAAUUAUCCCACCUCGCUUCACUUGGGAGGAGGAAGCCACUUUAAAAGGGAGAGCCACCCUUCCCCCAUUGGACUAGUC